rnacentral:rRNA from 1 species
CGGACCGGCCGGCAGGUGCGUAACGCGUAUGCAACCUACCUUUAACAGGGGAGUAACACUGAGAAAUUGGUACUAAUACCCCAUAAUAUCAUAGAAGGCAUCUUUUAUGGUUGAAAAUUCCGAUGGUUAGAGAUGGGCAUGCGUUGUAUUAGCUAGUUGGUGGGGUAACGGCUCACCAAGGCGACGAUACAUAGGGGGACUGAGAGGUUAACCCCCCACACUGAUACUGAGACACGGACCAG